rnacentral:snRNA from 1 species
GGAUAUGAGGGAAACCUGGCCGAGACACCUGUCACCCCACUGAGUGCCAGGGUUGACUCGGCCGAUCAGGCUGACUGGGCAGGUGUCCCCUUCCUCCCUUAGCAUUCCAUGUGCGUCAGUCGAGGAGGGCGACCCUACCCGGUAGAGGGGACGUGUUCUUCGGUCAAGGGUAUACAAGUAGCUGAGCUCUCCUAAUAGAACCUCCAGACAAGCUCUCGAAUAAAUUACUCUGAUGACAAAUAAAACUGCUGGAAUCUAAAAUUAUUUCUGCAAGGCCAAUUGUUACAGAACACUCAUUCUU